GACGAACGCUGGCGGCGUGCUUAACACAUGCAAGUCGAACGGAAAGACCCUGCUUUUGUGGGGUGCUCGAGUGGCGAACGGGUGAGUAACACGUGAGUAACCUGCCCUUGACUUUGGGAUAACUUCAGGAAACUGGGGCUAAUACCGGAUAGGAGCUCCUGCUGCAUGGUGGGGGUUGGAAAGUUUCGGCGGUUGGGGAUGGACUCGCGGCUUAUCAGCUUGUUGGUGGGGUAGUGGCUUACCAAGGCUUUGACGGGUAGCCGGCCUGAGAGGGUGACCGGCCACAUUGGGACGGAGAUACGGCCCAGACUCCUACGGGAGGCAGCAGUGGGGAAUAUUGCACAAUGGGCGGAAGCCUGAUGCAGCAACGCCGCGUGCGGGAUGACGGCCUUCGGGUUGUAAACCGCUUUCGCCUGUGACGAAGCGUGAGUGACGGUAAUGGGUAAAGAAGCACCGGCUAACUACGU
rnacentral:rRNA from 1 species